rnacentral:rRNA from 1 species
UGAGCAAUCUGCCCUUCUCAUCGGAAUAAGCGUUGGAAACGACGUCUAAUGCCGAAUACGACCUCCUUUCGCAUGAUCGGAGGUGGAAAGCUCCGGCGGAGAAGGAUGAGCUCGCGGCCUAUCAGCUAGUUGGUGUGGGUAAUGGCCCACCAAGGCGACGACGGGUAGCCGGCCUGAGAGGGUGACCGGCCACACGUGGGACUGAGACACGGCCCAGACUCCUAGUGGGAGG